UCAACCCUUUAAAACCCAAAAACCUAAAAAACCCAAGAAACUUUGUAAGGAUUGUUACAAAGAAAGAACCCAAUUUUUUAGAGAAAAGACAAAAUCCAUAGCAAAAGGUAAAAAACCCAGAUUGCCUCAAUAUAGGCCUGAAAAACCUAGUUGGCCUAGAACAAAAGCAUCACCACCAAUUUGUUAUAAGUGUGGAAGAAUGGGAC
rnacentral:lncRNA from 1 species